rnacentral:misc_RNA from 1 species
UCUCUGCUUGCGCAGGCAGUCUCGUUAGAGUCCCCGGCUUAACCCGCUGGUAACUAACGAUAGGGGUUGCGUUCGUUGCGGGACUUAACCCAACAUCUCACGACACGAACUGACGACAGCCAUGCAGCACCUCACUACCGGCCCGAAGGAGGACCCCUUUCAGGGCCUGUCCGGCAGCGUUCGAGCCCAGGUAAGGUUCUUCGCGUUGCAUCGAAUUAAGCCACAUGCUCCACCGCUUGUGCGGGCCCCCGUCAAUUCCUUUGAGUUUCACCCUUGCGAGCGUACUCCCCAGGUGGAGUGCUUAUCGCGUUUGCUUAGGCACUCAUCCCGAUAUAAUCGGGACGAACACCGAGCACUCAUCGUUUAGGGCGUGGACUAC